CACUUACCUUGUUUCAUGUGUCACUAACAUAAUUUUUAACCAACCAUGAGGAAUAACGUUGUCCAACCACAAACAAGUCCAAGGAAAUUCUGUAAUGACAUAACUUCAAUAGACACAAUUGCUGAUGUUAAUAUAGUGACCAAAACUUCCAUAAUUAUACAAAUGAGACUGUUAGUUUGAAUAUAAAUAUGUAAAAGGGAGAUGCACAUCACCAUUAGAGAAAGUUGGGGAAGAGCUAUGUGAGGCAACACCUACAAUUUAACAUGUCUUACUUUAGAAAAAUGGAUCAAAAGGAAAAUGGAAAAAAGUAAGAUUAAAGUAAUUAUUUAAUUAUUAAUGAAAGAAGUACCGCUAUUCAUUUGAUUGGAUGCAACUUAACCAGAUAGAAAACUCUAUGUGGGCAAGACUCAUCAUUACAAGAGAUAUGUUCAACCUCAUUCACUAGCAACUUAAAGAAGCAACUCAUAGUAGAAUCCUUUAACAAAU
rnacentral:misc_RNA from 1 species